AGAAAAAUAUAACUGCAAAAAACAAAAACAGCACGGCCAUGCUAUGGUACGUACGCAAAACACGCCCAUGGAUCC
rnacentral:sRNA from 14 species